CUCUGUGACAUUUCUUACGCGGAUUUACUGGAACGAGGCCUGGGAAGUCAGCUGCUCCGGCCCUGCUGCACCGUCAUCUCCAUCCCGCCGGGCUGCCCGGAGUCUUGAGGACGCCACUGGCCGAGCUUUGCCCCUCAGACGCCCCGCCAAGCCCCCAGCCCCAGCGACUCAGGCCACUGGAUUCUCCCCUGGACCAGGCAACAUUCUCAUCGCCCAGAAGGAGACCCCAUGCCUGUUAAGCAGCUGCUCCCCACUCCCUGCCGGGCGCCCCACACUUUGGACCUGCGUCACCCACGGCGAUGUUAUGACCUGCCCCCCGUCCUCCCCACCGCACGCCGCAGACGAGCGCUCUGUGCAGCGGGGACCAGAGCAGACGGCUCACCUGCAGCCACAAAGAGGAUGCCGGCGCUGAGGACGAUGUUGUUCUUGCGGCUGUGGAGUCUCCCGGCGCCAAGGCAGAGCCCGCCGAGCAGCAGGAGGGCGGCACUGAGGAUGGGGAAGGCGCUGGAGGCGCGCACGAGGCCUGGCCGGCGGGAGACACAGAGAGGGCCGUGGGGCUGGCCAUCCUCCCGGCCCGGCCACGGGCGUCGGCCCCAAGGCUCUCAAGGCCCUUCCGCUGACUUUGAAGAUUCCCAUCCCACCCUGGAGACCCCAGGCUCUCCCUGGAUGUGGGCCCCACUUCUGCCAGCGGGGAUCCCCUCAGCGCCACCAGGGAGGCCACAGCAACAGGCACGAGAACACUGUCAGACGGCCCGUCACAGCUCGUGGACAUCGUCUCCGUGAAGCCUCCGGGAUGCUGGAGACUGGAUCCGGAUGGGCGGCCGAGGGCACGGCUUUGCCUUCGGCGGGCCCGGGUACCCCGCUUUGUGACACGCUGGCUGUGUGGCCUUGGCCAAGGUGGGGCCUCCCUGACACUGGGUUUCCCUAGUAGUGGGAUGCAGUUCGUAACAGGCUACGUCCAGGUGGGUUCUGCACAUCUAAUAGGCUUAUUUAGCAAAGGCCCUGCCCAUAGCACACACUCCUCAAGUGACAGCCUUGAUCUCCCACCUCCGUCAACACCAGCGCCAUCACCCCGGGACGCUCCGGACCUCGUGAGGUCACCGAGGAGGGGGUGGCUGGACAGGGGAGCAUGUCCAUGGCCUGCGGGGUCCCACGGAGCUAGAUCUGCAGCUGUGCACUGCCCAGCAGGGCGACCAGGGCAGCUAGCUUCAGACCACUUCACUCCCCUCUUUUACAACCUGGGGAGAGUAGUAAUACCUACCUGUAGGGGUUGAAUUGUGGCCUCCCAAAAUCUAUGUCCACAUUCUAACUGCUGGUACCUAUGAGUGUGACCAGGUUUGGAGAAAAGUCUUUGCAGCUGUGAGUAAGUUAAGGCUCUUGAGAUGACACCGUCCUAGAUCACGCUGGGCCCCAAGUCUAGUGACAGGCGCCCUAACAUGAACAGGAAGCGACACAGCAGAAGAGCCCAUGGGGAGAAGCCAUGUGAGGACGGAGGCGGAGGAAAGGAUGACACAGCUCAAGACAAGGAUGCCGGGGCUGCCAGAGCUGGAAAAGGCGGGAAGGAUUCUCUGCUAGAGGCUUUGGAGGAGCACAGCCCUGGCAACGCCUGAGUGAAGACGUCUGGCCUCCACUCCGUGUGAGGGUGCCUUUCUGCUGUUCUAAGCCCCCCAGUUUGUGGUAAUUUAUUACAGUGGCCUUAGGAAAGGGACACACUACCUGCAAGUGCUGUGAUGAGACUCUGACGGAAUAAGGUACAUCGGGCGGGUAGUAGGGCCCUGGGGGAUGCGGGUCCCCCUCCCUGAGCAUCUGGCUGGGAGAGGAGGCGGGAGGAAGGGAAGGGGGACGUGAGCAGAACCCCGAGCUCGGCCUCCCAGCCCAGGAGAAAUCCCGGCUCCGUGGACCUGGGGGCCGCCAGGGGACAGUGAGCUGGGGGCACCGGCAGGCCCCCCUCCUGAGCCAGCUGAGCUCGUUUGCGGCCUUUCAGCCUCUGAAGGCAGCGUUUGUCUCCCUGCUUGUAAGCCCGCCAGUGUGUGCCCUGCUGCACAGAGAGCGGCUUGUCUGGGGCAGUAAAUGAAGCUCUUCUCUCCGCCUCCCCCUCCUUCCUCUGCCUUCUCACAGCCGCAGGUUUCGGGAGGAGGUUUCCUGUGGGCCUUUGAAAUGCGCCUCUGAUCCGUGCGGGGCCGGCAAAGGGGGACCGGGUCCCCCUCGAUACCCUCGUUCUGCAGGUGGGUCAGAGGGGUUGCAGCGAGGGAAGCCUGGAGCCUCUAACGUCUCCGAGUUCGGGCCUGGCCCAGAGCCGUCCAUCCCGCCCGCGUAAGUCACGUGAGCACCGUCCUUUGCCACGUGGGCUCACCCGGAGCUCUAGACGUGCGGGCACCAACCGCGGUGCAGGCUGGGUCUUGCACAGAGCGGGGUCGAUGUCCAGCCCACGGCCCUGUGGCUACCUCGAGCCCUGGCAAGGAUCUGUGUUUUUGCCCAGAGGGCGGGCAUCUCCUCCUCACUCGCCCUCAGGCUCGCCAUGGGCUCUCAGCAGCCCUGACACCAGCACUCUGGGGUUAGCACAGAAACCACGCGCCCAACCCGAAAUGCGGAGCCUGGAGAAGGGGCACCAGGCCCAGGGCAAGAGGGACGGGAAGCCCUGAGGCCAGCGGGCUCAACAGAGAGAAACGGCAGGGAAUCAGGGAAACUCAGGCCGGAUGGCCGUGGCGACCGCGGCCUUGUUCUGUCCUGGAAUGUUGCCCACUCCCUCUGGCUCCCAGCUCACAGGCACCUGCACUCUGGGGCUCGAGUUCAGGGCCAAUUCUCGCUGUUUCUGCAGCCCCUGAGUGGAAAACCACUUCCCUGAUGGGGAGUCAGCUCUGCCCUCCCCCUCAGCAGCCGAGAUCACAGGCCCCAAAGCCAUCACCCCUUCUCUUCCUUGGGCUCCUGAAUGAACCCCCUGGCUCCCCACGGUGCACCAAUGAGGAAACGUUUCCUUCCCAAAUGAGCUUUGAUGGCUGAUGUACAGUUGCCAUCAUGUUAUUUGGGAAAAUCGCUGCUGGGUCUCCCAGCCCUCACGCCCUGCCCCGGGGCACCGCUGGUGGGGUUUGAGGACAGCAGGAGCCUGAAGCUGGAUUGGUGAGUGUGCCCCUCCCGGCCCUCGGACCACCUCUCUCGGUCCUGCUCUGGGCCCUGGGAGGCUGACGCCAGGGACCGGGUCAUCGGGGUCCCUCGACUCCGGCUUUGGGAGGAGAGUGCAGGGGAGACGGUUAUUCCCCUGGCUUCCUUCCUGCAAAUGAGGACGAGGAUAAGGUGGCUGCGCUCUGUCAUAAAGGCCACAGCCCCUGCCAGGAGGUCCCCUGGUGCAAGCGUCCAUACCUGCCUCUCCCACCUGUUCAGGCUGAGGGCUGUAAGGGGUCCUUCUGUUGCUAGCCGCGGUGUGUUCACUGCCCGUUGUAAGCUUCCCUUAGCCCCGCCCACAGCUCUGUAAUUAGUCCUUCACUAAAUGCCCUUCCUUCAUCCCAUCGGAGCGAGCGUCCCCUCUGCUUCCUGCUGGGACCCCAGGAAGCCGCAUCGUCUGACCUCUUGGCUGAUGUUCCACGAGGCCCAUCCAGAAGGAGAUCCCAGCACCCUGGGGACCAUGAGGGGAAGGGCAGGGGAGUAAAGAGGCAGAGCCCGCACCGAUUAACCUCAGGCAAGUUCAUGUGGGAAGUGGGGAGGGAAUGGCGUGUUUCUCCAGGAGCUGCUUCCGCACAGUCCCGAGGUGGCCAGGUUAGCAAAUCUGCCCUCAGAGCCUCAGGGACCAUCUGACUGCCCCGGGCCGGCAAACAAGGGGAGGUCCUGUUCAGGGCUGGCUUUCACCAGCAGCCGCCCCAGAUGGCUGUGCAGGCCACGCACCAUGCAACUCACAGAGUGUAAUGUAUACGCUAGUCUAUGCAAAUGAUAUCCCUUGAGUUGUGCAGUGUGCAACCUGCACAACCAUCUGUGGCGGCCCUAUGGACUAUCAUUUGCUGGGUUCAGUGGUGGCCCGCAGAAAGCAGAGAGUACAGGCGUGAGGAAGGGGAGAAGGUGAGGGAGGAGGGAUGGGAGGCAGAUCUGGCUACAUUAUUCCAGGUUCUGGGCCUGAGGCUGCCCCAGGCUGCAGGGGAACCGCACGCUGGUCUAUUUCACUAGAUGACUCAGAACCAAAAUCCUUUCCCUUAGAAAAGAACGGUCCAUAAGCAGGUGCAGAGUGAAGAGUGCUCCCUCUGAGCACACUCGUAUUGAUUCUCCAUAAAUGAAGCUGGCCUGAGCCCCUAGGGGAGCCGCUGGGAGCAGCUCUGCCUGCGUCUUGGCUAAUGCAAAAGGGGAAAAUGACUUCAAAACGGUGCUGUUUUUUCCAUUUCCAGGUUCCUCCCCAGGCUGAGGCUCCAUCCUUUCUCCCAGGGAGGUGCCCACGGACGAGAUCUGGAUUUAGGGUGUGGGACGGGGUUUGUCCUUUGAGUUCUGCGUUCUAGUCCGGGGGCCAGCCCCACUGCAGGACCCGGGCAGGGGCAGCUCAUGGGCUCUACCAGUCUGUGCCAGAGACACUCAGGGCCACAUACCCGAGGCUGGUCCCACCACCGUCCUCACGUUCUCCCACAGGCUGCCUGGCACCCAAUGGCUGUUUCAGCGCGUGACUUAAUCUGAUUUUCAAGACUAGAAUGCUGGGUGGGGGAGGGGAGGGGUGGGCAGGUCCAGGGCUGGCCGGGCCGUGUGCUUGGGGUGGCACAGCCCCCAGGAUGCCGGGCCCGGGCAAGCCUACGUCCUGACCUCUGGACCGGACACAGCAAUCAGUUCCUCUGAAGACAGCGGCCCUGGGGAGCAGGGAUUCCCCCACCCUGCUCCAUCUUCCCGGGCCGCACCCGGGCAUGGUCCUAUCAGCCAGGCAACUCCGCCGGGACACCCAGCACGUCACAGCAACCUUGAACGACACUCCAUCCUCGGAACUAACGAUUCGGAAUCAGAAAGGGAGUGAAGGCAGCACCCAGGGACCAGCCCCCUCCGCCCCCACGGGGCCCACCUUCCUCCCCCGCAGCCGGCUGCCCACCACCGGCCCCCGCUCCACCCACAGAGGAAGCGAAGGACCCUCGGCACUCACGCAGGAGACUCGCUGGCCGGGUGUGCCUGGCUCUGGGCGUGGAGGGCGCAGAAGGGCCGCUCCGAUGGGCGUGGGGCACAGAGAAGGACCGCCCAGCGGGGGACGCGCCCCAGGCUGACCGCGUCAUUACGGUCCACGUCUGGACACCCGCGAGAGGGAGGGGCACCAGGACACAGGGACAAGAGGCCUCAAAGCAGAGCAUCCUGGGCCAGCAGGGCCCAAGGGGACUGCGGAGCCCAGGCUUGAAAGGUGACAAAGACCUUCCCAGUGGGAUGGGGGAGGGGCCAGCCAGGCAGAGGCGAGGCUGUGAAGAGGCAGGGCUGGGGCCCGCGGUGUGUCUGGGGAGGGUGGGAAGUCCAGUGCGGCCAGAGGUGAGAAGGACCCGUGCAGGGAGAGGGGCUGUGGGCCGGGAUGAGAUCUGCCGCCCACCUCCCUGCGGCAGUGUCUGUCUGUCUGUCUGUCUUCCCCUCUCCCCUCGAGCACAGUUACGGUGAAUCCCUCCCACGUCACAGGCCGAAUCUGCACACGGUCGGCAACGUGACUGUAAUCCCCUCACUCGGUGUGACAGAAGGAAGAGCCUCCCGGAAAGGCCCAGACCCUCUCCUGCCUGGUCUCCCUCCCCACCCGGAGAAGUAGCCUUCGCAGGACACCCUGAGUAGUUUAGUGACGGCAGGAGGACCGCCCAGCCCUCCCUUCUGGAAUCUUCCGCCAGCUCUCCCAGCGCCUGCUCCCCUGCAGUGUGGGCGUGCACAGUGCAGAAGCGGACGCAGGUCGGGGGACACAGGGUGCCGGGUUCUGUCCUGCCAGCCCCCCGCACGCCCAGGCCGGGCCCCUGGCCCUACAAGGAGCUCGUCCUGGCCCCCACACGGGCCCGCCUGCUUUCAGCUGGAACGUUCUCGUUUUGCAGCUGCUGCUGAGCGGCUCGCUGACCCUCCCACGUCCCGGCCAGACCUCCUGGUCGGGCGCACGGUGCAGGCAGCAGGGCCCGUGCCAGGCUGGCCUCCGUCCCCGUCCUUUCCAUGGAGAAGGGCCUCGACGAGCUUGGGGGCACCUUCAGCGCCUCCCAUUUACCAGUCAGCUGCCCCCCAGCCUCCCCUCAGCUGGGCCCAUGAGCUGCUGCCUUCAGAGAGCUCAGGGGCUGGUGUCCAGGCCACUGCUGGGCAGGCUGGGUUUGGUCAGGGACAGUGGGGGACAGUCUGAGGGUGUCAGAGGCGGCGCCUUGAGUGGGGUACGCUUCCACAGUGUCGUCUGAGCCGGGUCAAGCGUGAGCGUUUUAGCUACCUGCCUCAGUCUCCUGCUCUGGAGAAUGGGGACAGCCACAGGCCUCGUCUAGGGACCUCAGGAGCGUCACGGGAGGCGACCCUGAAAGGCACUUCAACAAUUCUCGGCCUGCGCUGACGGCUCAGGGGACAUUUGCUGCUUUGGGACCCAGACGUCACCCACCCUUUGCUCCGUGGCUCUUACUCUGUGGUGGAGCGAGAGGAAGGAGCCCCAGGGCAGGCUGGUGUCAGGACGGCCAGCGCGGGCCGCACCCCAGCUUCAGGAGUUUUGUCAUUUCCAGAAGGUUCUAUAAAUGGAAUCUUACGGCGUGUGACCUGUCGGGCCUGGCUCUCUCACUCAGCGUAAUUCUCUCGAGAUUCACCGAGUUGUGGUAUCGACAGUUUGCUCCUUUUGGCUGCUGAGUGAUGUUCCACGGCACGGAUGUUCUACAGCUCAUGACAGCUGGAUUUGCGCCCCGCGAUUGCGCCUGCGGUUCCCAGCUAUUUCCAAUGACGCUGCUAUGAACAGGUUUGGGGAUGAACCUAACUCUUCAUUUCCCUGGGCCAAAUGCCCAGGAGAGUAAUUGCUGGGUGACGUGACAGCUGCGUGUUUGUUAUAAGGGACAGCCAAGCUGGUUUCCAGGAUGGUUAUAUCCCUUAUUUUGCAAAAGGAAUAAUACAAUACACUUUACUCUGCAAACUGCUUUUUUCAUGUAAUAAUGUAUACACACUUCUCUAGGCCAAUACCUAUAGAUUUUAAAAACUUGUUUGUUUUUAAUAACAAAAAUAAUAAGUUGAUACUACUCCAAAAGUUGCUGACAGUCUUCGAAGGCACUAGCACAGGGACUCGGGCAGUAAAGCUUUUGCCGCACCACUGAUGAUGCUAAAACUAUGCUUCGCCAGGAAACCACAUAUCCACAUAUUCGAUUGGAAAAGAAAGCAGGUUCUGAAAGUAGCUUGCACGUAGACACGUUAGUUCCAAAUGCCCUUCCAAUGUAUUUUGCGAACCUCCACUCUGCAUUUAGGGUGAUAGUUUCUAUUUGAUAGAAACUGUAAAUAGGGAUCACACUGCCCAACAUAUUAACAGAUU